rnacentral:misc_RNA from 1 species
AAGUCGUAACAAGGUAACCGUAGGUGAACCUGCGGUUGGAUCAUUAAUGAAUCAACAACUUUAUGGUAGGUGGUCUACCGGCUUUCGAGCUGUCGUAGUCAUCGACCUAAACCCCAAACCUGCGCCUGUCUUUUCCAAAUUGCUAAAACUUUUUGGGAGGGCAGAUGAAAACAUCGAGUAUCCUUUUUCUGGGCAACCAGAAGAAGAUACUUUUUAUAUAAACAUUUUAUUUCAUUCUUUUUCAAUAAUUAAACAUAUUAAUGAAAAAACAACUUUUGACAACGGAUCUCUUGGCUCUC